AUGGCAAUGGGUUGUGCUCAUGGCGAUGCUACGGAGAAGUCGCUGGUUGACGGAGGGUCGGCGGCUUGCAUCAAUAACAGUGCACGGCGGUGUCGCACAGACGGUGAUCCGGUUUGGCCCGUGUGUGUUGAUCGAAGGGAUCAAAUUAAGCUUGGCGGUCGGAGUGGGUUGAGAGUUGUCGCAGAAGGGGCUGCGCGGUUUCUAGCGGAGGUACGCAAGAGGCUGAGAUCGGGAAGCGUAACGGUAGUGGGCGCCAGUUUGGACGGCGGAUCUGCGAUGGUCGGAGGGAACACUGACUGA